ACAUCCCUUUUCCCAGGGAGUUUUCGUCAUUCAGUAUCUCAUUUUAUCAUCUUUAUGCAUACAAACCAGACUCUGCAAUCUAGUCAAGUCCCCUUCUUUAUUUAUACACCUCUUCCAUCAGCUAUAUAUUUAUACAUGCAUAUGUGAUAUGUGAAAGCCUCUUGAUGCAUAUGAUAAUUUAACCAAGAUGAUUUCGCAAUUCAAAGGAUGAUCGCUUAGACUGAAUAUUAGUAUAUGUUUAGAUGCAAAGGGUAGAAGUUUCAUCCUAUGUGGCAGCGGUGCACAAGCUAGGUGAUUUAAAGAUGGCAUUGUCCCCUGAAUUCAGAUUGGAUGGAAAUAAGUCAUUGAUACAAAUUCCUUUACUAACAUCAGAAUGGUGUUCAGAGAGUGAACCCCUCAUUCCAGGUCUUCCUGAUGAUGUUGCUCUCAAUUGUCUAUUACGCCUACCAGUAGAACAACAUACGACCUGCAGGGCUGUUUGUAGACAGUGGUAUCGGUUGCUUGGUAGUAGGGAAAGAUUCUUCACUUGUCGAAAAGAGCUUGGAUUUCGUGAUCCUUGGUUAUAUGUCUUGGCCUAUCACAAAUUUACCAAAAAGAUUGAGUGGCAGGUUUUCGACCUUAAAGAUUUCUCUUGGCACUCUAUUUCUCCAAUGCCUUGCAAGGAAAAUAUCUACCACCAUGGCUUUGGAUGUGUUUCUAUUCCAGAGGAAAGUACUCUCUUUGUUUGUGGUGCUGUGAUUUCUGAUGCAACAAGCCCUCUCCAUGUGGUCAUGAAGUAUGAAGUCCAAAAGAAUCGCUGGACUGUAAUGAAGAAGAUGAUUACUGCACGUUCAUUUUUUGGUUGUGAGGUGAUUGAUGGAAUGAUCUAUGUGGCUGGAGGAAACAGCAGCGAUCUUUUUGAACUUAAUUCUGCUGAAGUAAUGGACACUCGUAAGGAGAUUUGGCGCUGUAUUGCAAAUAUGAAGACGAAUAUGGCAGCGUAUGAUACAGCAGUCCUCAACGGGAAGCUUCUUGUAACCGAAGGAUGGUCCUGGCCCUUUUAUGAGGUACCUAAAGGUCAAGUCUAUGACCCAAGAACUGAUAACUGGGAAAGUAUGCCCGCUGGUCUGAGGGAAGGCUGGACUGGUUCGAGUGUAGUUGUUUACGGACACUUAUUUGUUAUUCCAGAACAUGAAAGGAUAAGACUUAAGGUCUAUGAGGAAGAUACCGAUUGUUGGAAAGCUGUUGCAGGCCCUCCAUUACCUGAGCAAAUAUGCAAACCUUUCUCCGUUAAUUGCUUUGACUGCAGAAUUUAUGUUGUCGGUCGAGACUUUCACAUUGCAGUUGGCCAUAUAUUGGGAAUGGACGCAGGGACUAAUUCUGUCACGAGCUCUAGCUUUUCUGUACAAUGGCAAGUAGUAUAUGCACCUACAGCCUUCUCUAAUUGGAUUCCAUCUAAUGCCCAAGUCCUCUUUGCUUAGACCUUGGAUUCCAGUUCACAGGCGGUUUGGUGUUUGCCGGUUGCUGGUUAUAUUGUUUUAAAGGACUAUUAAAGAGAACAUAUAUAUAGUCUUGCUGCUCCUGUAACAGGGUAAAAUUUGCGUACAAUACACCAUCACUAGAACCACUCCGGUUCCUAGAUCACUUGGAGGAAACUAUACUAGAUUACUAGGGGCCCUUCAAGAACAAAAUUACACAGUACUGAAGUGUAUAUAUUCUAAACUUCUCGAGUGAUAUCUUGUCUCCGGGUUGUCUUGAACAAUACUAUUACAUUAGCCGGUUACAUGCAUUGUAAUUGAUUAAAGCAAUUACUACAUUACACUAUCAUAUUUAUAUUCAAAUUCUUACUGUAUUAUAUAUUCAUUUUUUAUGUU